rnacentral:rRNA from 1 species
CCUACGGGUGGCAGCAGUGAGGAAUAUUGGUCAAUGGACGAGAGCCUGAACCAGCCAAGUAGCGUGAAGGAUGACUGCCCUAGGGGUUGUAAACUUCUUUUAUAUGGGAAUAAAAUGUUCCACGUGUGGCAUUUUGUAUGUACCUUAUGAAUAAGGAUCGGCUAACUCCGUUCCAGCAGCCGCGGUAAUACGGAGGAGCCGAGCGUUAUCCGGAUUUAUUGGGUUUAAAGGGAGCGUAGGUGGAUUGUUAAGGCAGUUGUGAAAGUUUGCGGCUCAACCGUAAAAUUGCAGUUGACACUGGCAGGCGUGAGUACAGUAGAGGUAGGCGGAAUUCGUGGUGUAGCGGUGAAAUGCUUAGAUAUCACGAAGAACUCCGAUUGCGAAGGCAGUUCACUGGACUGCAACUGACACUGAGGCUCGAAAGUGUGGGUAUCAAACAGGAGUAGAUACCCUUGUAGUC